UACGUAGGGUGCAAGCGUUGUCCGGAAUUAUUGGGCGUAAAGAGCUCGUAGGCGGCUUGUUACGUCUGCUGUGAAAACUCGGGGCUCAACCCCGAGCCUGCAGUGGAUACGGGCUAGCUAGAGUGCGGUAGGGGAGACUGGAAUUCCUGGUGUAGCGGUGAAAUGCGCAGAUAUCAGGAGGAACACCGGUGGCGAAGGCGGGUCUCUGGACCGAUACUGACGCUGAGGAGCGAAAGCGUGGGGAGCGAACAGG
rnacentral:rRNA from 1 species